AUGGUGGCGUCUUUGCCGUCAUUACUUUGUUGGAAGCAUUGCCUUGGAGUCAAGUCUGGUGUUGGAAGCAUCUGCUUGGUGGUGGUGUGGUGGAUCUGGAGCGGGCAGCGUCUUGGUGAGCAUGGAGCAUUGGUGGUGAGUCCGUUUGGAGUGGAUCGUCGGUCGACGGUCGCCAUGGUUGGAGAGUGGCAACCACAAAACGGCCAAGUGCAUGAUGAGAUCGACCUCAGCAUCCCAGUCGAUGACAAAGACUUGAUCUGGAGCAACACGGGCACGAUGAAUGAUGAUGAAGAUGUUGCUACCGCGGAUGAAGGUAUUACUGAUGCCGGGAGUGCUAGUCACAUGAGGAAGAGGGGCAGGCAUGCAAACCGCCAAAUUCAGGAACUUGAAGCUAUGUUCCAGCAAUGUCCCCACCCCGAUGAGAAUCUACGUAUCGCCCUCAGCAAGAAGGUGUGCAUGGAUCCUCUUCGGGUCAAGUUCUGGUUCCAGAAUCGACGCAAUGCAAAGAAGAACCAGAAUGAGCGUCAACAGAACAUGGUGCUCCGGACGGAGAACAUUAUGCUAGAAGAAGAGAAUCGAGCCAUGAAGGCCGCAAUACUGAAGAAGACCUGCCCCACAUGCAAAGGCCCGAUGGUGUUCUUUAGGCCGCUGACCCCGGAGCUGCGGCGCCUACACAUGGAGAACGCGAGGCUUAAGGCCGAACUCCUCCACAGGACGGCCUACCUCCACGGUGUCUCUGCUGGAACUGCAGGCUCGUCACGGAUUCUCUGCGAUCUCAACGUCGACCCCGUCAUGCCGCUUCCGCUACGCCAGGACGAUCUCAUGGCGGACACCAUGGGUCACUGUGCUCCCGGCGGCUGCGCAUCCGCCGCCGGCGGCCCGGAGCACGCCGCGCUUGAGAGGCACGUCCUCGCUGCACUCCGCGAGCUCAUGAUGCUGAUGAAGCAGGGCGAGCCAAUGUGGCAGCCGGCAGCCCUGGGCGGCGAGGUGCUCGACCACCAGCUGUAUCGUGCGACCACGCUCCCAGGCUUACUCGAGCUUCCCCCGCCGGGGUUCACGGCGAAUGGCACUCGGGACACUGGCUUGGUUAUGUGCACUGGAGCCGACCUUGUCCGCAUCUUCAUGGACGAGAACUGUUGGUCUGAGACGUUCCCCGAUAUCGUGGCAAGUGUUUCCGCCGACAACAUCGGCCACGGUUGUAUCUGCCAAGGGGGAGUGAUACUGAUGAAGGCAGGCCUUCGGGUGCUGUCGCCAGGGGUGUCGAGUUGCGAUGUGAAGUUCGUGAGGCAAUGCCAGAUGAUAGAGCAAGGCGUUUGGGCCGUGGUGGACGUGUCUCUUGAUGCCAAUGGCACAUCUGAGCUCAGAGCAUGGAACACUGGCCUACCGGGGGCCUGCCGGGUGCUGCCAAGUGGGUGUCUUAUCAAGGACAUGAACAAUGGCUACUGCAAGGUGGCAAUGAUCGUGAACGCGGAGUACGACAAGGGCUUCAUGCGGUCGCCGCUCCACCCGCUGCUGAGCUCAGGGCACACUUUCAGCGCACGCCGCUGGCUGACAUCGCUCCAGAGGAGGUGCGAAUUCCUUGCGCAGCGCUUGAGCCCCGCCUAUGGCAUCAGCAGGGCAGGUGGUGCUAUAACGCCCGAGGGGCGAAACAACGUCCUGGAGCUGGCACGGAGGAUGACGGAGAGCUUCUAUGUAGCCAUCUCUGCGCCCAGGGGCGAGGCGUGGCGCAAGGUCGCCGACUCGCGCGGCAGCUGCGGAGUCGGCGGCGAGUCCUUCCAGCUGGCCAUGCACGUGGUGACUCCGCUCGCUGCACCUGGAGAGCAGGCGGCCGGGCCCGUGCUGUGCGCUACCACGACGGUGUGGCUCCCCGAGAUACCGCCGCAGCGCGUGUUCGACUACAUCUGCGACGUGGAGCGCCGUGGCGAGUGGGACGUGCUUGCCGAGGGCGCACGCGUGCAGGAGGACGCUUCCCUUGCCACGGCCCAGUUCCCUCUUACCGGCGUCUCCAUCCUUCGCCCCACUGUAAUGGGUCGUGGUCGUGGUGGAAGCAGCUGCAACAAGAAGCUCAUCCUGCAGCAGGCUUGCGGCGACGCGCCGUGCAUGGUGGUGGCGUACGCUCCGAUUGACACGGCAGACCUGAAGGACGUGAUGCAUGGGGGCAGACGUGCCUCUCUCUCCCUGCUGCCCUCCGGGUUCUCCAUCCUUCCUGACGGCGUCGGCGACAUACAGACGGAUCCGCUUGAUGCCAACCCCUCCGCGGUCGACCCCAUAGACCACCAGAGGAGCUGCGGAUCUCUCGUCUCUGUCCUGCGGCAGACUCACCUGAUUGGAGGGAACCUCACCGCACAGACCGUCGACAACUUCGGGAAUAAUGUCUCCGGUUCCAUCAUGAAGAUCAAGGAUGCGGUCCAUGCCAAGAGGGUUAUGACCGUCUGA
rnacentral:rRNA from 1 species